AGGGCUAUGGCUCAGUGGUAAAGCACAUGCCUGAAAUUCACAAGGUCCUGGGUUCAAUCCUCAGUAACUCCA
rnacentral:tRNA from 1 species